rnacentral:lncRNA from 1 species
UUAAAAGGAAAAAGAACUAAAAAAUGAAAAAAGCUCUUCUUCUUCAUGAAGAUUGAACAAAAUGCAGAACCCUAGUCUUCUUCUUCAUGGCAACAACGGAAACCUGAAGAUCAGGCCUGAACCAAAAACGACCCAUCCCCACCAUCUUCUUCAGUGAGCAAAAACGCCUAAGUCUAGGAAUCAGACGCAAUAACACAAAAAAUCAGGUCCCCCACAUUGAUCUUCUUCUGCUCGAAUAUAAACAACCAUUUUAAACUUUCCUAUACAAAAAAGAAUAGCCAUAUUCGAUGAGUUGUUCCAUCGGUUUUUUUAUCAAAAAAAGCUUCUUCUUCUUGCUGGAAAACGCAGCAACAUAACCAUGAAAUACAAUCUAGAAAACCCAUCUAAACAAGUAGAGUUCGAGUCAGGAUAGUCGAGCCGAGCAACAAAACUCUGUCGAAAUCCGGUGGAGCUUCUCGUGGAGGUUCUGUUCGAGGUCUCUGAUCGAUGGCUCGAUUUUGGACUUUUGGUUCGAAAUUUUUCUUUUAGUUCAUUUCAUUGUCAAUCCCGUCAGUUUGAGGUUAAUUUCCUCCCCUUUCUUUUUUUGUGUUCUUACGUUUUUGUAUCUAGUCACACCAGUUGGUUUUGAUGGAUUUAAUGCAACUUUACAUCUUGGCCUUACAUGAUUAAUAUGUGAUUGGACCUAGUAUUUUCCUGAAGGAAGACAUAUAGUUAGUAAUUCUUAUUGUAGGAUUUGCUAAGUAAAAGAUGUUGGGGAAGCAGUGGUUUGGGGCUAGAAAAUGAAAUCUAAGUUUCAGAUUAUUAUUUUUCGUAAUAGGAUUUUCUUUAGUUGAGCUAUAGUUUAAAUUGAUAUUUUUAUCUCAAUGUUAGGAGCAUGUUAGGCCGACCAUACCUGGGUAGGCGAACCUUUAGGCAUGUAAUUAAAUCAUCACAACAACGGGUAUGCUUCCCAUGGCGUGGUUGUGAUACUUAAUUUCAAAUUAGUUGUAAAAAUGAAUAUCCGUAGUUCACUUAGUUGAAUGCCUUUACUUUAAUAAAAUCUAGGUGCGCCAUACGCAAACAAAAUCCAUAAUCUAUGUCCCUCAUAUUAAUUAUCUUAACUAGUGUAAAAAAUGCCUUGAACUUUCGGAGUUUGAUUUAGGCGCGUUAAUUAAAUAAUUGUCAUGGCUACGGGUACGACUCUCGUGACAUAGUUGUGAUGCUUAAUUUCUAAAAUCCUAGGGUACAUUUAUGUGACCCAACAACAAUUUAAUUUUGUUAAUAAAACAAACAUGUUGUAGAUCGUGGGUGCGGUUCCCGUGACAUGAUUCGCUAUGUAUAGUCAAAUAAUUAGUUGAUGUGACGACCUGUCCAGUCGUCUUAAGAAUUAACGCCCUGAUCCCCUAUUAACUACUUUCCCCAAGUUUAUUUAUGUUAUUUCUAUUUGUCGGGAUGUCCAGUUUUGAGUUUCGGAGAGUUUUGGGACACUUAGUCCCUAAAUGAGAGCUAAAGUGUUGGAAAGUUGAACGUAGUUGGAACAGUGUGAAGACGGCCUCGGAAUUGAAAUACAAUGGUUUUGUUAGCUCCGUUGGGUGAUUUCGGGGUUAGGAGCUUGUUUGAAGUGUGUCUUGGAGGUCCGUAGCUAAUUUAGGCUUGAAAUGCCGGAAGUUGAGUUUUUGAAGUUUGUGGUUCGAUAGUGAGAUUCUAAUUCAAGGAUCGGAAUGGAAUUACGAGAGUUGUAGUAGUUCCGUCAUGUCAUUUGGGAUAUGUAUACAAAAUUUCAGUUCAUUCGGACGAGGUUUGGUAGACUUUUUGAUCGAAAGUGUGUUUUACAGUUUUUGGAAAUUUUAAGCUUGAAUCCGAUGAAAAAUAAGUGUUUUGAUGUCGUUUUGAGCAUUUCGAAGGUUGGAACAAAUUUGGAUGUGGUUUUAGGAUUGGUUGGCAGGUUGGGUUGAGGUCCCGGGGGCCUCGGGUGUGUUUCGGAUGCUCAACGGGUCAUUUUUGAAACUUAGGAAAUUGCAGAAAAAAUUGCAACAGUCAGUUCUGGUUUCCUUCUUCGCGUUCACGAGUGGGUUCUCGUGUUCUCGAAGUGGAGCUUGGAUUAGGGGAAAAUUUGGCCUUCGCAUUCGCGAUAGGGCCUUCGCGUUCGCAAAGAACUGGAUGGUUGUGCUAUGCAUUCGCGAUUGGGCUUAGCGUUCGUUGAAGAGGAAUUGGCCCAAAGGAGUUUUGUGUAUCGCAUUCGCGUGAUGCCCGUCGCGUUUGCGAAGGUUCGUCUGUGCAAGGCAUCACGUUCGCGAAGUAAAGGACGCGUUCGCGAAUAAGGAAAAAUGGUCAAAGUUAUUUUGUGCUUCGCGAAUGCGAGGCUUUGACCGCGUUCGCGAAGAAGGAAUUUUCUGGGCAGAUAUAAGAUUUCAAAAUCGAUGGUUUGGCCAUAUUUAUCAAAACUUAAGCAUGGGAGCUCGGAUUUUGAGCGAAAUUUUGAGGGAUUUUCAGAGGUAUCGAUUGGGUAACGAUUCUUAUCUCAUUUUUGCUUGUAACCCAUUAAUCUAAACAUGAAUUCAUCCUUUAAUUUCGGAAUUUGUAUGAAAAUUGGGGAAAAAAGUUCUUAGGCCAAGAAAUUGAGUUUUGAUUGGGGAUUUGACAUCGGAUUUAAAUAAUUUUUGUAUGAUUAGACUCGUGAGAGUGUGAGUAUUAUGAAACUAUAAAUUUUAUCCAAUUCCGAGACGCUGGUCCGAGGGGCGUUUUGGUCCUUUUACAUAAUUUCGCAUAUUAGCUUAGAAUUUAAUUAUAGAAUCAGUUACUUGAAGUGUUAUUUACAUUAUUCAAUUGAAUUGAAUAGAUUUGGGCCAUUUGGAGUCGAGUACUCGUGGCAAAGAUGUGGUGUUGGGUUGAUUUUGAGCCGGUUCGAGGUAAAUGGCUUGUCUAACCUUGUGUGGGGGACCUUCCCCAUAGGAUUGGUAUAUUUGGUAAUUUAAAUGCCUUGUACGUGAGGUGACGAGUGAGUACUUGUGCUAAUUGUUGGAAACCCGAUUUUCUUUAAGUACUUACUAGUAUGUUUUCUUUCCUGUUUCUAUUACUUGCAUUAUUAAGCAUGUUGUUAGCUUAGGAAAGCAUGUCUAAGUGACUUAAUUGCUUCAUUUGAUUUAACCUGCCUUACUUGAAUUAUGUGCAGCAUGUUAGGCUAGAAUCACUUAUUGCCUUAAUAUGAAUUUUGCUAUUUAUGUUUAUCUUCCUACUGCUGCUGUGUAUUUAUUUUGGGACUACGGAUGUGGAAUUCCGGUAGCUCCACCUUGUCUAUUUACUUUGGGACUACGCGUUAGAUUCCCGGUAGAUCCCCCUGCACAUUUACUUUGGGACUAUGGGUUAGAUUCCCGGUAGAUCCCCCUGCAUAGUUAUAUAGAACUACGGGAAUGCACCCGGUAGAUUCCCCCAGUACUGGGUAUUUACAUUUGGGAUUACAGAUUGUGAUUCCGGUAGAUCCCCAUGCAUCGAUAGUUGGACUACGGGACAGGAUCCCGGGAGAUCCUUCGGACAUAUAUAUGAUGGACUACGGGACGGUAUCCCGGGAGAUCUACUGGACAGUUGUAAUUGGGACUACAGGACGGUAUCCUAGAAGGUGCCCCGAUUGUUAUCUCUGUAUCGAGCUGUAUUUUUUUCUGUGGCUUGUUUUGUCUCUGUUCUAUUUGUUGUUCUGUCAAUUCUAUGUUAUUUCUUACUGUUGCACUUAUUUAUACUGUUUUAUUCCACAUUGUUAACCCUUAUAUUGUAUUUAACCUCAGUAGGGCCAUGACCUUCCUCGUCACUACCCAACCAAGGUUAGGCUUGGUACUUACUAAGUACAAAUGUCGUG